UUAAGCUACUAAGAGCACACGGAGGAUGCCUUGGCACUGAUAGGCGAUGAAGGACGUGGUAAGCUGCGAUAAGCUCCGUUUAGCUGCAAACAAGCUCUGAGACGGAGAUUUCCGAAUGGGGAAACCCGGCCGGGGUUAUGCCCGGUCAUCCAACACUGAAUUCAUAGGUGUUGGACGCUAACGCAGGGAACUGAAACAUCUAAGUACCUGUAGGAAUAGAAAACAGUAGUGAUUCCCUUAGUAGCGGCGAGCGAAAGGGGACAAGUCUAAACCGGUCGGCACGUUAAAACUUAACAGUGUUGUGCCACCGGUGUCGCGGGACGCCAUCGAUCGGGUGUUAAACCGAUCAAGGAGUCAAAAACCAUAUGUAUAGGUGAACAUUCUGGAAAGCUCGGCCAUAGUGGGUGACAGCCCCGUAACCGAAAUGCAUGUGGCUCCUUUGGACGUUCCCAAGUAGGGCGGGACACGUGAAAUCCUGUUCGAAUCCACCAGGACCAUCUGGUAAGACUAAAUACUCAUCAGUGACCGAUAGUGAACAAGUACCGUGAGGGAAAGGUGAAAAGUACCCCGAGAGGGGAGUUAAAAGUACCUGAAACCGUGUGCUUACAAGCGGUCGGAGGAAUGGUCGGUCUUCGGAUCGGCCGGACUGACGGCGUGCCUAUUGAAUAAUGAUCCGACGAGUUACUUCUCUGUCGCAAGGGUAAGCGAAAUACUCGCGCACCCGCAGCGAAAGCGAGUCUGAAUAGGGCGACAUAGUGGCAGGGAGUAGACCCGAAGCCAGGUGAUCUAUGCAUGGUCAGGAUGAAAGUUCUGUAAAAGGAGCUGGAGGUCCGAACACACCAGUGUUGAAAAGCUGGGUGAUGAACUGUGCAUAGGGGUGAAAGGCCAAUCAAACCUGGAAAUAGCUGGUUCUCCUCGAAAUAGCUUUAGGGCUAGCCUCGGAACAGAGUCUGACGGAGGUAGAGCACUGAAUGGGCUAGGGGUCCUACAAGACUACCAAACCCAAUCAAACUCCGAAUGCCGUUAGAUGUUUUCCGGGAGUCAGGCAGUGGGGGAUAAGCUUCAUUGCCGAAAGGGAAACAACCCAGAUCAGCAGCUAAGGUCCCAAAGUCAUGCUAAGUGGUAAAGGAUGUGGAAUUACUUAAACAGCUAGGAUGUUGGCUUAGAAGCAGCCAUCAUUUAAAGAGUUCGUAACAGAUCACUAGUCUAGUGACUCCGCGCCGAUAAUUCAAGGGACUAUGCAUGACACCGAAGCUCUGGAUUCACGCGCAAGCGUGAGUGGUAGGGGAGCAUUGUCUUGAGAUUGAAGUUCAGACGUGAGUCUGGGUGGACUUAAGACAAGAGAUUAUGUCGGAACGAGUAGCGAUAAUGCAAGACUAUAAACUUGCACACCGAAAGCCUAAGGUUUCCUGGGCAAGGUUAAACCUCCCAGGGUCAGUCGGAACCUAAGCCGAGGCCGAAAGGCGUAGGCGAUGGAAAACAGGUGAAUAUUCCUGUACUUGUGUAAAUGCGUUUGUAACUAUGGGGUGACGCAGAAGUGAAAGGUGAGCCCACGAUCGGUAGUGUGGGUUUAAGCCCGUAGAUGGGGACCGCAGGAAAAUCCACGGUCCUAACAUCGAGAGGUGAUGAGGUGGUCGCAAGACCGGAACUCACCCUAAGCAGACUGCCAAGAAAAGCCUCUAUGUGAGUCUUUACACAAUCCGUACCGCAAUCCGCCACAGGUAGGCGAGGAGAGUAUCCUAAGGUGCUCGGGAUAACUCAUGUUAAGGAACUAGGCAAAUUUACUCCGUAACUUCGGGAGAAGGAGUGCCAUGAGUAGGUGACAUACUCGCGUAUGAAGCCAAAAAUGGCCGCAGUAAAAUGGCCGCGAUGACUGUUUACUAAAAACACAUCUCUCUGCUAAGUCUAAAAAGACGACGUAUAGGGAGUGAUACCUGCCCGGUGCUGGAAGGUUAAAAGGAGAGGUCAGCCGCAAGGCGAAGCUUUGAAUUGAAGCCCCAGUAAACGGCGGCCGUAACUAUAACGGUCCUAAGGUAGCGAAAUUCCUAGUCGGGUAAGUUCCGACCUGCACGAAUGGCGUAACGACUUCCCCACUGUCUCAACAGGAGACCCAGCGAAAUUGGUGAGCGCGUGAAGAAACGCGCUACCCGCGGAAGGACGAAAAGACCCCGUGAACCUUUACUGUAGCUUGGCAUUGAGUUUCGAUUAACAUUGCGUAGGAUAGGUGGGAGUUUUUGAUCCGUGCAUUCCGGUGUACGGGGAGACAACCUUGAAAUACCACCCUAUGUUAAUUGGAAUUCUAACCUACGAUCGUAAUCCGGUCGGGGGACAAUGUCUGGUGGGCAGUUUGACUGGGGCGGUCGCCUCCUAAAGAGUAACGGAGGCGCACGAAGGUUCCCUCAGGCCGAAUGGAAACCGGCCAUAGAGUGUAAACGCAUAAGGGAGCUUGACUGUGAGGCAAACGAGCCGAGCAGGUGCGAAAGCAGGUGUUAGUGAUCCGGUGGUUCCGAGUGGAAGGGCCAUCGCUCAACGGAUAAAAGGUACUCCGGGGAUAACAGGCUGAUCUCCCCCAAGAGUUCACAUCGACGGGGAGGUUUGGCACCUCGAUNNGAGACAGUUCGGUCUCUAUCCUCCGUGGGCGUAAGAAAUUUGAGUAAAUCUGUCCUUAGUACGAGAGGACCGGGAUGGACGAACCUAUGGUGAACCGGUUAUGACGCCAGUUGUAUCGCCGGGUAGCUAAGUUCGGAAGGGAUAACCGCUGAAAGCAUCUAAGUGGGAAGCCUAUUACAAGAUAAGAUUUCUAUUAAGACAACUUCUAGACUAGGAGUUUGAUAGGUUGGGGGUGUAAGAGUAGUAAUACUUUGAGCUGACCAAUACGAAUUUGUCGUUCUGCUUUUUUUUG
rnacentral:rRNA from 1 species